GACCUCUCCAGAGAAGGUGGUGUGAGGCCAAUGCUGAAAAUGCUGCUACUUCUGCUGCUUCUGGGGUCCAGCUAUGGGCUUGGUGCUCAUGUCUCUCAACAUCCAAGCAGGGCCAUCUGUAAGAGUGGGACCUCUGUGAAGAUCAAGUGUCGCUCACUGGACAUACAGUUCCAAACUGUGUAUUGGUACCGCCAGUUCCCCAAAGAGAGCUUCAUGCCUAUGGCAUUUUCUAAUGUGGGCUCUGAUGUCACCUGGGAACAAGGUAAUGCCCAGGACAAGUUUUCUAUUACUCACCCAAACCUCACCUUUGCGUCUCUGGUGGUGACCAGUGCACAUUCUGAAGACAGUGGCUUCUACUUCUGUGUUGCAGAGACACAGUGCUGGGUGGAAGUCAGAGACCUAGGCAAGAAGGUUUGCAGCAGCCUGCCCCACCCACCCUCAGACCCAGGAGCCCAUGGGAGUAGCCUGGGCAGAGAAAACCACAGCUUCUCUCAAUGA